rnacentral:rRNA from 1 species
GACGAACGCUGGCGGCGUGCUUAACACAUGCAAGUCGAACGGAAAGGCCCUGCUUGCAGGGUACUCGAGUGGCGAACGGGUGAGUAACACGUGGGUGUUCUGCCCUGCACUUCGGGAUAAGCCUGGGGAACUGGGUCUAUUACCGGAUAGGAGCCAUUUUUAGUGUGAUGGUUGGAAAGUUUUUUUGGUGUAGGAUGAGCUCGCGGCCUAUCAGUUUGUUGGUGGGGUAAUGGCCUACCAAGGCGGCGACGGGGAGCCGGCCUGGGAGGGUGGACGGCCACAUUGGGACUUGGAUACGGCCCAGACUCCUACGGGGGGGAGCAGGGGGGAAUAUUGCACAAUGGGGGCGAGCCUGAUGCAGCGACGCCGCGGGGGGGAUGACGGCCUUCGGGUUGUAAACUCCUUUCGCUAGGGACGAAGCUGUUUGUGACGGUACCUAGAUAAGAAGCACCGGCUAACUACGUG